rnacentral:rRNA from 2 species
GCGAGAAACCUUUGCAAUGUGCGCAAGCACGACAAGGUUAAUCCGAGUGUUUCCUGCUAAAGGAAUCUUUUGUUAGUCCUAAAAACACUAGCGAAUAAGGGAUGGGCAAGUUCUGGUGUCAGCCGCCGCGGUAAAACCAGCACCUCAAGUGGUCAGGAUGAUUAUUGGGCCUAAAGCAUCCGUAGCCGGCUCUGUUAGUUUUCGGUUAAAUCUGUUCGCUCAACGAACAGGCUACCGGGAAUACUGCAGAGCUAGGGAGUGGGAGAGGUAGACGGUACUCGGUAGGAAGGGGUAAAAUCCUUUGAUCUAUUGAUGACCACCUGUGGCGAAGGCGGUCUACCAGAACACGUCCGACGGUGAGGGAUGAAAGCUGGGGGAGCAAACCGGAUUAGAUACCCGGGUAGUCCCAGCUGUAAAACUAUGCAAACUCAGUGAUGCAUUGGCUUG